UACGUAGGGGGCAAGCGUUGUCCGGAUUUAUUGGGCGUAAAGAGCGUGUAGGCGGCCAGGUAGGUCUGCUGUGAAAACUGGAGGCUCAACCUCCAGAGGUCGAUGGAAACCAUCUGGCUAGAGUCCGGAAGAGGAGAGUGGAACUCCUGGUGUAGCGGUGGAAUGCGCAGAUAUCAGGAAGAACACCCGUGGCGAAGGCGGUUCUCUGGGACGGUACUGACGCUGAGACGCGAAAGCGUGGGGAGCGAACAGG
rnacentral:rRNA from 1 species